rnacentral:rRNA from 1 species
UGUUUAGGGGGGUCGGGUUUCCGGUUGGCCCGGAACUUGUACUACGUUGGAAGGUACGGUUUUCGGGUCGUCCCCUUAACCGACAUCAGCAAGACCUUUUGCCACCCACGAAGAGGCAAACGGGGAAGUGUUUGGCUUGAUAAAAACCUUCGUUGGUUCAACGAUCCAUCACUGCUCGCUUGUCCCCUUCCCCCUCCAGAGAGGGGUGUGGUGGUUGGUCAUGCUUUCUAAACGCCUUAUAAUAUCUUUGACCUCAAAUCAGGUAGGACUACCCGCUGAACUUAAGCAUAUCAAUAAGCGGAGGA